rnacentral:lncRNA from 1 species
GUAGGAGCUCGGUUUUCCCCACAGGGCUGUUGGUGAUGGACCAAGUGCAGGCUUGUGAAGGUCUCUGUGGGUUGGGCGAGUUUUGAACAGAGGGUCCUCUAAGCAUCGCAUCGCCUCAUUCAUCCCCAUUGUAUAGAUGGCAAAGUGGGGAGUUUCACCCAAAGCCCCAGAGCCAGCAUGCAAAAAGCAAGUGGGAGGGGGUUGGAACGCUUUCCACCGCCCCACCCUGGGGACAGAUCUAGGUUCCCAGGAGCCUGAAGCUUAAAACCAUUUGGGGGGGCACUCUUUAAGGAAAAGAUUACAAAGUCACAAAUACAAAAUUGCUGAGAGGCUGGGCGCAGUGGCUCACACCUGUAAUCCCAGCACCUUGGGAAGCCAAGGUGGGCGGAUCACUUGACGUCAGGAGUUCCAGACCAGCCUGGCCAACAUGGUGAAACCCUGUCUCUACUAAAAUACACAAAUUAGCUGGACGUGAUGGUGGGCGCCUGUAAUCCCAGCUACUCGGGAGACUGAGGCAGGAGAAUCGUUGAACCCGGGAGGCAGAGGUUGCAGUGAGCUGAGAUGAUCGCACCACUGCACUCCAGUCUGGGUGACAGAGCUAAACUCUGUCUCAAAACAAAAAACAAAAACAAAACAAAACAAAACAAAACAGCCGUUCGCGGUGGCUCACACCUGUAAUCUCAACACUUUGGGAGGCCAAGGUGGGUGGAUCACCUGAGGUCAGGAGUUCGAGACCAGCCUGGCCAACGUGGUGAAAUCCUGUCUCUACUAAAAAUACAAAACAUAAAAUAAAAUAAUUAGCCAGGCGUGGUGGCGCUCUCCUGUAGUCCCAGCUACUCGGGAGGCUGAGGCAGCAAAAUUACUUGAACCCGGGAGGCAGAGGUUGCAGUGAGCCGAGAUUGUGUCACUGCAUUCCAGCCUGGGCAAUAGAGUGAGACUUCAUCAAAAAAAAAACCAAAAAAAUAAAAAACAAAAACAAAAUUGCUGAGACCCCUUCCAGGGCCUCAGAAGGAGCUGAGCCAGUGAGGAAGCUCAAAUGCAGCUUUCUUAGUGUCUCAGCCCCACCAUGCAGGCCCCCUGGAAGGGGUUAUACCCCUCUCCCAAGAAAGUCAGACACCAACAAGCUUAGAGGGCAGGGUGGCCCAAGGCAAUAUGUCAGGGAGGUGCCGCUGCAGCUGGUCCCCAACCCCUUGCAUGCCCAGGCAGCAGUCCCUCAGCCCAACCAAGAGCAAGGGCAGUCAGGUAUUUGCAGACUGCAGCCUCAGCCAGGCAGGGCCAAGCCCUCCAGU